rnacentral:sRNA from 1 species
GCUCACUCGUAGGGGUCCGGACC